UACAGAGGCCCCAAGCGUUAGGCGGAAUCACUGGGCUUAAAGCGUGUGUAGGCGGGUUGGUAAGUACUUUGUGAAAUCCCACGGCUCAACCGUGGAAUGGCUUAGUAUACUGCCGAUCUUGAGUCAUUUAGGGCAGCCGGAACAGAUGGUGGAGCGGUGAAAUGCGUAGAUAGUCAUCUGGAACGCCAAUGGUGCAGACAGGCUGCUGGGAAUGAACUGACGCUGAGGCACGAAAGCUAGGGGAGCGAACGGG
rnacentral:rRNA from 1 species